rnacentral:rRNA from 1 species
GCGCGAACGUUCCUUCGGGAACAAGUAGAGCGGCGGACGGGUGAGUAACGCGUGGGAAAUUGCCCAGUAGUGGGGGACAACAUUCGGAAACGGAUGCUAAUACCGCAUACGCCCUACGGGGGAAAGCAGGGGAUCUUCGGACCUUGCGCUAUUGGAUAUGCCCGCGUCGGAUUAGCUAGUUGGUGAGGUAAUGGCUCACCAAGGCAACGAUCCGUAGCUGGUCUGAGAGGAUGAUCAGCCACACUGGGACUGAGACACGGCCCAGACUCCUACGGGAGGCAGCAGUGGGGAAUAUUGGACAAUGGGCGCAAGCCUGAUCCAGCCAUGCCGCGUGUGUGAAGAAGGCCCUAGGGUUGUAAAGCACUUUCAGUAGGGAGGAAGGCCUUAAAGUUAAUACCUUUGAGGAUUGACGUUACCUACAGAAGAAGCACCGGCUAACUCCGUGCCAGCAGCCGCGGUAAUACGGAGGGUGCGAGCGUUAAUCGGAAUUACUGGGCGUAAAGCGCGCGUAGGCGGUUAGUUAAGCUGGAUGUGAAAGCCCCGGGCUCAACCUGGGAACUGCAUUCAGAACUGGCUGGCUAGAGUACGAGAGAGGGUAGUGGAAUUUCCUGUGUAGCGGUGAAAUGCGUAGAUAUAGGAAGGAACAUCAGUGGCGAAGGCGACUGCCUGGCUCGAUACUGACGCUGAGGUGCGAAAGCGUGGGGGAGCAAACAGGAUUAGAUACCCUGGUAGUCCACGCCGUAAACGAUGUCUACUAGUCGUAGGGUUCCUUGAGGACUUUUGUGACGCAGCUAACGCAAUAAGUAGACCGCCUGGGGGAGUACGGGCCGCAAGGUUAAAAACUCAAAUGGAAUUGACGGGGGGCCCGCACAAGCGGUGGAAGCAUGUGGGUUUAAUUCGAAGGCAACGCGAAGAAACCUUACCAGGGGCUUGACAUCCUCGGGAAGUCUGGCAGAGAAUGCCGGAUGUG